rnacentral:misc_RNA from 1 species
GAUGAAGAACGCAGCGAAAUGCGAUAGGUAAUGUGAAUUGCAGAAUUCAGUGAGUCAUCGAAUCUUUGAACGCACAUUGCGCCCUUUGGUAUUCCGAAGGGCAUGCCUGUUCGAGCGUCAUUAUCACCCCUCAAGCCCUCGGCUUGGUGUUGGACGGUUUGGUGGAGGCCCCCUCGGGGGCUCCUGCCCCUCCCAAAGACAAUGACGGCGGCCUCGUUGGACCCCCGGUACACUGAGUUCUUCACGGGACACGUAUCGGACACAUGGGUUUACGGGACACGGUCUGCCUCCCCUCAGGGAGAAUAUUUCUAAGGUUGACCUCGGAUCAGGUAGGGAUACCCGCUGAACUUAAGCAUAUCAAUAAGCGGAGGA